UAAUAUCACAUAUAUGUAUAUACGUCAAUGACUAACAAAACCAUGCAAAUAAACAAUCGUCAACCAAUAAAAGAGAAAACAAAUUAGGGAUGCCACUUUGAGGUAACCGUGCUAAGAAUAAGGAGCCAAUGCCUUUCCCUAGUCUCCAUUUCACUCCACCUCCUCCAGCUCAGUCUCUCUCACUCACAGAUAAUGAGCACUCCUCUUUACUGAGCAACGAAGCUGAUAACAAUAACAAUAAUAAUAAUAUUAAUAAUAAUAAUAAUAAUGUUAUUUUUUAAAUGCAGAGUUGUAAUUCUUCUGUCAGUGCUGGCGAUGACAAAACUGUAUUGAUGGUACAAACGAUAAAGUCCCAAACUCAUUUAACAACCCUCGAAGUACAGGUUAACACUAUUGAAACACCAUCUCUUGCUCACGUUGUCCACCAUUCUCCUCCUCCUCUUAAUUCCUUCGCCCUCUCUUUGUGUUAGUAAUUCAUGGUGUCAGCAUAAUUUCAUUUCUAUCUUUGUUCUGUUGUCAUCAUUUAAAGAACCUUUAUCAGUAUCAAAGGCUGGAGGGACCUCAGUCAGGGAAAAACCGAGUCUUAGUUUGUCACAGCACAUUGAAGGAGGUAAUAUGUUGAAAAUAUUAGUAACUUAUUUCAUUAGAAAUAUUUAUAACUUAAUUUGUACACAGCAUAAGGACAUUAAUAUGUAUCAGAAGAUGUAAUAAAAAUUUGGGGUGAUUUCGGAGCCAUUUUUU